GUUCCUGUAGCGCAAUGGAUAGCGUGUUGGACUUCUAAUCCAACAGUCGUGGGUUCGAGUUUUACCUGGGAUG